rnacentral:tRNA from 1 species
GUAUUGGUGGUUCGGUGGUAGAAUUCUCAGCUUCUAUGUGGGAGAUCUGGGUUCAAUUCUCAGCCAGUGCA